rnacentral:rRNA from 1 species
UACGGAGGGGGCUAGCGUUGUUCGGAAUUACUGGGCGUAAAGCGUACGUAGGCGGCUUUGUAAGUUAGAGGUGAAAGCCCGGGGCUCAACCCCGGAAUUGCCUUUAAGACUGCAUCGCUUGAAUCGCGGAGAGGUGAGUGGAAUUCCGAGUGUAGAGGUGAAAUUCGUAGAUAUUCGGAAGAACACCAGUGGCGAAGGCGGCUCACUGGACGCGUAUUGACGCUGAGGUACGAAAGCGUGGGGAGCAAACGGG